UUCUCUGGCUCUUCAGGAAUACCUAUAAGGAGACGAUGAAUUUGACGUCCAACGGAAGCCCCGUUCAUCGCCUCAUCGAACAGUUGUUGGUAUGUGCUGCUUGUGAGGCCGCAAUCAGAGCGGAAAAGAAUGAAUACUUCAGUCCAUACAAGAUGAAAUGAAAAAUCUGCAUAGAUAGAGAGGUGCAGAGAAAGGAGGAAAAGAGAAGGAGAAAUGGUAGGGAUCGUAGCACGCUUCCAAGGCUAUAUGACGAGACCCCAACCCUCUCUUCUGGUAGUAUCACUGUCUGCUGCAUAAAGACACUAACCAUGCUAUAAAUAUUAUCUGGGUAUUCUGAAAGGUUAAAAUGUUUUGUCGAGUGAGGAACUUACAAGACGUCUUUCUGCAGGUACUUAAUUGACAAGUGGUGAAAUCUGAUUCUGCAACUAUUAAGGAUUAAAAGACGUAAAGUGGAGAGCUUGGAGGGCAUAAAAGAGCUUCAGGGAUCAGUGAUGAUCGAGACAAAUCAAGAAAAUAUUGGUAUUAUUGGUACAUCUAAGAAACUGGCAGAUGAGGAUUCAUGCCCUCCACAUCCUGGAUUUUAUAAAGGCUUGUGCUUGAGAUGUGGUCAGCUAGUGGAGGAUGAUGGGCCUAUGCUUUCACUUGACUACAUUACUAAGGUGCAAUGCUCAAAAUUAUACUACAGAGCUGUAAUAUAAUCAUGAUAUAGUAACUUUAUGUUUCUUAUAUAAUGCAAAUGGUAGUGAGGCGGACUGGGUUAGCAGCUUAAUGAUGCUUACCUAGGUGUAUAAGCGAUGUUUGUCCUCGAAAUGGUCUGGAAUGUGGAUAACUUAUUUUCAUUUUAGGCUCACAUCCUGCUUCCACAUAUUUAAUUCUAAAUAAAAUGGUCACAUCUUGCAUACUGGUGCCAAGAAGUGC